rnacentral:lncRNA from 1 species
GAGACUUCUGUGCCGAGUCAGCUUGUCAUUCAGAUCCCAGUGUGCAGCAGCGAACUGCUCUGGCCCCGGGGCAGCUCUCCAGCUGAAUCCGUGUCCAAGAAUGGAACCAAACUCUGAGCCAAAGUCUCAGUCGAUUCCUGAAGCGGAGCUGACGUCUGGGAGGAAGCAGAAGACCCCAGGUAAUCAAAGCUCUCCCGGGUCUGCCCGGGGGUGGGGAGUUAGCUCAUGGCGGCGAUUCGCGUGGGAGAUCGGAGGAGCGGGAAGACCAGGGCUAAGUUGGCCCCAGGGAGUCAGAGGUCAGCUGGAGCGGGUCCUGGACCCACUCCAGAGGCUAAGCCGCCUGGACUAGUAGCCACAAUAGUUGCCAUGUGAGGAGGGGCCCGUGGGGCCCAGAGACGCAGCCGGGACAAGACAAGCGCUGGCGCCGCGCACUGAGCAGGAGCCAUUAGGGCAGCCCCGAGACGCUGGCGCCCCUGGCAACCGCGCGCCCCAUCCCGUCCUUUAUUAACUACACCUUUAUUUACGCAGCCUUUAUUAGGCUCGGGUCCAGAUCCGCUCCGCGUCACCAGGGCAAUCUUAUCCCACAAUCCAGCCCAAACCUCCCUUCCGCCCUGCCCGGCCGGAACACCCCUCCCCUCCCCUCUGCGAGGAAGAAUUUGGGCCGCGGGGUCUGCGGUCCCAAGACUCCAGCAGCCUGGUGGGGUGGGGUGGGGUGGGGUGGGUUGGAGGUGCGGCAGAGCUUCCCAAGGAAGUUAUGGGACCUUGCCUCGGGAUAUUCAGAAGUGCCAGUCCAGUUCUGGCAGCCUGAACUCUUCCUCCUCCAAGCUGAAAUCCGAGAGAUGCUUUUCCUCCUCUUGGCCAUAGGGAAAGCAACUGACCUGCAAAAUGUGCGCCAGUUAGGGUGGCAGGCAGAGCACACAUUACGGUCAUUUAUUCCAAAAUGUUGCCAUUUUCGCCAAACCUUUGAUAUCCUUUGUUGCAUGUUUGGUAAUUAAUUCACCACCCUAUUAGGCAGGGGCUGCCGGGGAAUAAACGAGGACUCCAAAUUUUCUGUAGGAGGGGUUUUGGGGGGUGAGCAAUUCAGUCUGGGAGAGAGAAGGCCUUUAAUCCUAGUGAAUAGCUCUUUGCACUAGCCUGGGAGGAAGCUGAACUGUCAUCCUGCCUUGACUUAACACAGCCUUUACCCUAGAAGCUACAGCGCCACUCUUCAGAGGUCUACCCUGUGUGCACACAGGGAGAAGACGCUUAGGUUGUUAAAGUCAGCAUGUUAAAUAAUUUUCUGAAAUGCGACUAUAACUAGAACCCAGCUGACUUCCCCCAUAGCCAUUCUUACCUAUCUUAUUACUGAUUGUCUGGUACAAUCACAAAGUGCGGUGGUACUGACACCUACCUUUUAGGGUUGUUUGAGGAUUUCAUGGGAUAAUGAAUGUAGACUGCUUUGCAAACAGUGAGCUUUCAAUAAAAGGGAUCUAUUAUAAAACAAUAAUUAAAAAAGAAAUUAGAAGCCAAUAAGAAAAACAUUAACAUUGUGUGAUGGUGGAAAUAUGUAUGCUAUAUUGCUAAAUUAUAUGUUUAAAUUUCAAAAAAUUAAAUAGUUCAAAAAUG